rnacentral:rRNA from 1 species
UAAUACUUCUCGCUACAGGGUCCAGCCGUCCACCCGCCAGAACCCCCAACUUUCUUAGGUUGACCUCGGAUCAGGUAGGGAUACCCGCUGAACUUAAGCAUAUCAAUAAGCGGAGGAAAAGAAACCAACAGGGAUUGCCUCAGUAACGGCGAGUGAAGCGGCAACAGCUCAAAUUUGAAAUCUGCCUCUAGGCCGAGUUGUAAUUUGUAGAAGAUGCUUCGGGUGUGGCACCGGUCUAAGUUCCUUGGAACAGGACGUCAUAGAGGGUGAGAAUCCCGUACGUGACUGGCUGCCUUCGCCUAUGUGAAGCUCUUUCGACGAGUCGAGUUGUUUGGGAAUGCAGCUCAAAAUGGGUGGUAUAUUUCAUCUAAAGCUAAAUAUUGGCCAGAGACCGAUAGCGCACAAGUAGAGUGAUCGAAAGAUGAAAAGCACUUUGGAAAGAGAGUUAAACAGUACGUGAAAUUGUUGAAAGGGAAGCGCUUGCAACUAGACUUGCGCGCCGUCGAUCAUCCGAGGUUUUCCCCGGUGCACUCGGCGGUGCUCAGGCCAGCAUCGGUUUCGGUGGUUGGAUAAAGGCCUUGGGAAUGUGGCUCCUCUAGGAGUGUUAUAGCCCUCGGUGCAAUGCAGCCUACCGGGACCGAGGACCGCGCUUCGGCUAGGAUGCUGGCGUAAUGGUUGUAAGCGACCCGUCUUGAAACACGGACC